UUACUUACCUGGAGCGGUACUGGGGAGGACAAGAGGGCCUCGGUACUAGGGCGAGGUUAGCAUUGCACAACGCCAGAUUGACCCCUACAACUCUGCACAAGGUGUAUUGUUGGGCUUACAAUUUAUGGCUGAUGGGAUUGCGUUCGCGCAUCCCUAUA
rfam:Intoshia linei isolate Intl2013 Contig_26240, whole genome shotgun sequence.